CAAAAGUAUCUAGGUUUAAUAAGAUUUUAGAAUUAUGUAUUUCUAAUAAAUUUUCAAAAUAGGGUUGUUUAUCUUAUUCCAUUUAGUUUUUUAAACUUGUAUUAAACUAAUUAUAUUUAUCUUUAAUAAAUAUUUAUAUAUUAAUUACAUUCUAUGUACUACAUCCUUCAACAAUUUAUUUUAAAAAGUUGUGUAUAUUAUACAAACUGGAAUACAAUAAUAAAAUUGUAACCAAGAAGUUUUUGUUACGGCGUUAUAACAAGUAAAGACUAUUUUUUAUAGUAGAUAGAUCUAAUCGAUCUUCCCAGUAUCAACGAUUAUAGCGUUGUUGAGGUGUAUGGUCCAUUUGCAUCUUCGAUUAAAAAAUUUGUUGUAUGUAUCUCGUUUGAGGAUUUACUAGGAUGACUGCAACAAUUCCAAACUCAUUCAGAUUGUAGAGGAUAGGGAUGUUUCGUGGCCUAUGUUAAUUUUAUAUAAAAGUUUCGAUAAUUAUUUAUUCGUAAUUAUUGACUCUCAAUCAUUUGGUGUUGUUGGAAGUUCAACAUUUUUUAAUAGUAAGCUUCCUAGAUCUAAAAAUUCACAUCAUGAUACAAGAAUUGUCAUCUUACGAAUAGAAAUAGCAACAAAAUUAAAAUGAGGUAUACAAAAUUAGAUAAAUUUUACUAUAUCUAUAAAGAGUUUUAUUUUUUUAAUUUUUUUCGCUAUGUUCAAAAAUGUCUCUAAUUCUAAUAAGGUAGAUGUCAUCUUACGAUACAAUUGUUGAUGGUUGUUUGACGUUGAUCUACAUAACUCAUGUUGGAUGUAGGAUCAUAGUAGCGAGAAAUAGCAAAAAUACAGUAGCAGUAGACAACAGCGAUAGUAGCAGCAGUAGAUGUAACAACAAUAGUAGCAGUAAACAUAAACAACAAAUUCUGGAACAACAACUGCAAUACAGAAACAAUAAGAACGUAUGGUUGAGUUGAGGAACACGCUAUCUUUAAGAAGUUUUGCGGCUCUGCUCGAGAAUGUGCAAACAAAUAAAUGUCUCAUCGUCCCUAAGGAUAAAACAGCCUCAUGCUUACAACUGACUGAGCACGGAAAUCAGCUUGCAAAAUAAAAUCACUCAACGUCAGACACAAGUUUGCUCGAGAACACCUUUAGAGAGAAUACAAAAGUAAUGUUAUGAUAUAUCUUUAGUAAUGAAGGGAAGACGAUAUAUAUAAUCAUUUGUCAGGGCAGCCAACAGCCACAAAUUAAAUAAGGGAGCAAAUUGUGGGUUGAAAAAAAAACGUCAAAUGGUCGCAAAAUUUAAUUUGACGAAAAUGGUAAGAAAUAAUCAAUUUCCGUUUUGGUUAAUAAAAAAAAGUUCAACAUUCUAAAACAUUCAAAUAAAAUUUUUAGUAAAAAGAAUAUAUAGAUAUUAUUUUAUCUCGACUCUCCUCGUCACGUUCGACAGGCAUACGUACGUUUGUCUAUGAUCUCCUCCCUGCAUUCAAAACUUGGGUGCCUAAGAGUCCAAACCCAUUAUGAUCAACCAAUGAGUAUACGAAAAGGCAUCCACAACCAAAAUUAAUCAACGUGAGAAUGCUUUUGAGAAUAAAAUAAUAUUAUAUUUCAAAGUUUUCAUACAAUGAUAUUAUCAUUCAAAUCGAAUUCGAGUAAUCAUGUUUGUACGUUUGACAAAUUGACUAUCCACACACACAUCCUUUUAGUGUCACACAAUAUGAUCCUCCAUGAACAUCCUAAUCUAUCUAGCUGUUGCCACAUCAAACUAUGUAUAUUGGACCAAAAUCACACAUCAAUAUUGACUUCCUUUAAAUUUUAAAAUACUUGCAUGUAAAUUUUUUAUUUUAUUUUUUGCACCAAGCAAAUCCUUACUUUUGCAAUGACUCAUCUUUCAAAAGAAAAAAGAAAUGAAACACAUGUAAAUUAAAAGUAAAAAUAAAACUAUGGAUUCCAAGAAAGAAUUUAUUCUUUGUGUGGUCGUAUUAAAUACACAACACAAAGGAAGCUUCAUCUAUAUAUAUAUAUAUAUCACAAAAAAAAGCUAAUUAAACCCUUCUUUUUAUAAAGUAAAAGGAAGUUUCUUUCUUAGCACUACGCGUAUUUUUCAAUUUUCACCUUUUUCUGGACGGUUCUUCUCUUAUAUGCUUUACUUCUCUUUUAUUUCAUCCUAUAAAACCCUUCAUUUUUCAUUGAUUUUUCUCAACUGCUCAUCCUUUUGAUAUUGAUUUUAAAGUUACAAACACAAAUUCAAGUUCUUUGAACUUCUUUUGGGAGCCUUUAGAAAUCAAACAAUGACAACCACUUGCCCUCACAGAGAAGCAGAUGAAAUAAAUGGCAAGGAAAAGAAUUUCAUCAAGGUUUGUUUUUUCAACUUUUCCUUUUUCUUAAAAAAAAGAAUUUAACUAUUUUAUUUCAAACUCAAGAUGUUUUUACAGACCUUUUUUUUAAAAACAUUUUUUCUAACGUUAUUUGAUAUUUCAUUCUAUAGGGAAUCACCAAAGUUUAUCCAACAGGAUUUAAUAUUACAUGGGGCAAUGAUGAUCGCUAUUGGAAUAUCACCAAGCCCAAUGUGUAAGUCUCAUGAUCUCUCACAACUGUUAAGAAUAUGGAAUGAGUAAAAUUGUUGUCUUUAUUUUCUUUUAGUUUUGAAGAACGCACCUAGCACUUAAUUAAUAAUGAAAUAAGACCACAGACAAUCUUGUGUUUUUGAAUUUCCUACAAGUUUCCAUUUUUUUUUUUUUUUGUUCUGUUACUACGUUUUAAGCUGACCAGUGAAGAAGAAUGUCAUAAAUAUGAACAAGAAAAGGAAACAUAUAUUAGCUUUGAAACACUAGUUAUACAGCUAUGAAUUCUGAAAAAAGUAGGGAGUUCUUGAAUCCACAUUGUAAGAAGUAGUUGUGUUUUUUGUUUUUUUUUAUAACCAGCGUAAGUACUCAAUAGACCAUGAAAUUGAUAUUUAUUUUUAAAUUAUGGAUCACAAAGUCUCAAGACCAGACAAGAAAAGAAGUGAAGUUAACUAACUCUCUAUACGACUAAUCCCAAUUUUUAAGUCCUUGGGUUAAACACGUCCUUAAAAUUUAUUAUUCUACGAGUUUAAAUUCAGGUUCGAUGGAUUUUUUAAUAAAUUAGACAAGGUACGUGCAAACCAUUCAAAUACACACAAGAAAAGGAAAAUCUAUAUCAAGAAUAAAUUAUAAAAGAUUAAUGUAUAAUAUGUGAUAAUAAAUUGUAAUUCUUUCUUCUUUUCAGGCCAGGAAGUUUAUACGUGGCAGAGUUGAAGCAAGUUUCAUGGCUUGAGGUGACAUGUUCAACUGAUAAUGUAGAAGUUGGGAAAUAUUAUAGAGUGGGUUUCAAUAUAACAAUGAAACCAGAUGCAUUUGGGUGGAAUGGGAUUGAUGUUUAUGUAAUGGCUAAAGUUGGGAAAAAAGGGAAAUUCACAUCCAUGAAAGUUUCUCUUGAAGAGAUAAAACCAGACAACAUACCUAUCACAAUCCCGAAGAAGCCAUUAGAAAUCUUUGUUAAUCCUGUCACACCCGAAGAGUGCAGAAGUACUAUUCAUCUUGGUUUGUAUGAAGUUUGGAGUUCAAAGUGGAAGGGAGGUAUGCAAAUCCACGAUGCAUUCAUUCACAGGGUUUAAUUAAAACUUUUAGCCAUAAACGUCUAUUAGAAAAAUUAGAUUUCAUUUCAUUUUAUUUUAUUUGUGUAUAUGCACAAGUAUACUUUUUGAAGUUUUAAAAUAUGUUUUAUGAGUUGAUGCUUGUAAAAGUUAAAGGAUGUCUUGAUUAUUAUCCAUUAUGAGAUUCUUAUUUUGUAACUAUUUAUUGAAAAGUAUUUUCAUCAUGCAAUGAAUAUCCAUGUGCUUAAACUUUAACUAUACAUUCUAAUCUCAUUAGAAAUUCAUGAAUAUAAUUAACGAGCACUUGAACACAUCCCAAAAUAUAAAAUAAAAAUUAAGCCCAUGAUUCAACAUUUUAAAAUUUGCAUCUAUAAAUGGAAAACCAACAAACCUAGCUCAAUUGAAAUUGUAAAAUGAAAUGUGGAACUACAUUUCACUAAUUACCGCCUGAUUGUAAUAUUACAUUGUUACUCGAUAAAUAUAAAAUAAAAGUUAAGCCCAUGACCCAACAUUUUAAAAUUUACACGAAUGAAAAAUCAAGAUCAACCCCAACCCAAUUGAAACCGUCGGAGGAUUAAAAUGUCCUUAUAGUUAAAAAUACGGAAUUGCAUUUGAUUACCAUCUCAUUGUUAUUGGAUUGUCAUCUGAUGACCACUAAUUAUCAACGAUAUCAGUUACAAAUUGAUUGUUGUCUGAUUACUGUUUGAUUGUUACAUGAUGUUCAUUGUUAAUGAUAUCGGUUUACCAUCUCAUUUCUAUUUAAUUUAAAAUAUUGAUAGUUAUUAAUUGCAGAUGAUAACUGACUAAUAUCUAAUGACCUUACUUUUUUUUUAAUUGCUAAGUGGAGUAUGAUAAUCAUCUCAUUAAAUGAAGAUCUUAAUUAACUAGAUUUGAUAAAAUCAAAGGAAGAAAAGUGUGUGUUUCAUGUAUCAUAAAUAUGUACGUAAAAAAAGAGUAGUGAAAAAUCUAAAUUAUAAUAAUAUGCACCUCAAACACAGACUAAAAUAACAUAGACUACAACACUCUGCCCUCUAAAUGCAGACUAUUAUAACUUACUCAUUGCCUCAAACGCUCCCUAAGUAGUUUCUUAUUACCACCAUACUGUCAUGUGAUGACCUUUCAUUUUUUGUCAAUUGCUAAGGAUUUUUUUAUUGCAUUAUGAGUGUCAUCUCAUUACCUUAUGUUUUUUUUUUUUUUUGCCAAUUAAUAAGUAGUUUUUGAUUACCAUCCAUUUUUGUAAUGUACAUAUAACAUUGUCAAUCAUCUUAUUGUCAGCGUGGAAAUUGACCAUAGGGAAGCUUAACCACGACAACACAAUAUUGAGAUAGUCAUUUGAUUACCUUCUGAUUGUCGUGUGAUUACCUUCUAUUUUUUUUUCAACUUUAGUAAAUCUUAAUGAAAUAAUCAUUUGAUUAUCUUCUUAUUAUCAUCUUACUGCCUUCUACUUUUUUGUUUUCAACUUUAGUUAGCAUUCUAAGAUAGUUAUUUGAUUAGCUUCUGAUUGCCAUUUGAUUACUUUUUUUAUCAUAGCAAUUUUUUAUAUUGCCUUCAAAUUAUAUCAUCAACAUAGAUUUGGGCAAUAAUGUAGUCUUUAUUACAUUUGUUUAUAGACAAGGUUUAACAGUUCCUCGAGUGUAUUCUUUAUGUGUUAGGAAGAUAAUAAGUCGUUCAUACCAAACUUUAAGAACUUUGAGACCAUAUAAAGCUCUAUAAAGCUUGUAGACAUAUACCGAGGACAUUCGAGAUCUAUGAAUCCUUUAGGUUGAGCAAUAUAAACUUGUUCAUUAAGUACUCAUUUAUAAGUUUAAUCUAGCUUUUGUCAACGUUCCUUGAUGUUUUAAAAGGACUUUCACAUUUAUGGAGGCUCUGGUUAGUAGUGAGGUUUGGGAUGCUGAAUUCCAGGUAUAUUGUCCUUGGCCUUUUCACUUCUAUCACCGUGGGCAUUUGAAAUUUAUUUAUUUUCUAUUUUUUUUGCAACCUUAACCGAAUAUCUAUGAUUGUUGAAUAUGAGCCAAGCCAAUGAGAUUGUGUAUGUAAAUUAGUUAAUUAGUGGUUUGACAUUCAAGGAUUUAAUUGAUUUUUAUCAUUUAAUGUCAAUUUUUGAAAUGGGUAAUGGAUUUUAAGCUCAAUAUAUUAUGUUGCCUAAGGUGGUUUCUAUUUUAUUAGGUUGGUAUUGUUGCUCAACACUUAUUGGUUUUUGCUACUACCUUUAUAGUCUCUAGGAUGCAUCCAUUAGGAUGUAAUAUGUGAGUGGCACUUAGAUAUUUGUUAGCAUAUCUACUCUUUAAUCUAACUUCAUUUCAUUAUCCAUUCAAGGCUGUGGAGAGGGAGCAUAUCUAAUUUUCUUUCAUGUUCUGGCAAUUGGCACAAAGUUACUCAUUUGGAAGGAGUCUAAUUUUAUGAAUGAUAUUUCACCAUAUUUUAUUUGAAUUCAAUUCCAAUGACACAAAUGUUAUAUUUUUAGGAAUACUAUUCUUGUAUUUAUGUUGAAGAGUCUGUAAGAUAACUGAUAAUACAUUAGCUAUAUUACUAGUACUUGGAAAGAUUGUGAAAACCUGAAAAGGUCGGCUCUAAGACCCCUUUUUACCUUCACAAUAUUUGAUGGAGAUUUCACACCUCCAAAAACAUGUCUUCAUUUGUUGAAAGGUUUGUUGCUGAGGUAUUCCAUGAUUUACACGAAGAGGUCAUUUCAACAGCCAUAGUCUUAUGAUUCGAGUGCAACAACUUGAGGCAGAGGUUCCUUCAAUUGAGAAAGCAUUUCUGUCCCAGACAAAUCAUACAUCUUUCUUCACUAGUACAUGUUCGUCUAUCACAUAUAUUGUUAUAUUUUUGCCAACAGUCAUGGUCACCACAUUGUUUAUAUUGAUGAACUUGAACAAUUAAUUAGAGAUCAUGAACUGGUACAAACAAAUGAAUUCACGUUCCCUCGUUUUCCACUUUAUUUUUUUAUUAUUUUAAAGAAUGUGAUUUAGGGGCUUAGAAGGUUCUAAUUUCUAGUCUUUCGUGGUUAUUUUAUGAUUUUAAUUGGAAGUUUGAAUCAGUUUCUGUUCUAAAAAAAUGUGUAGCGCACUUUUUCACCCCCACUUCUUCCAUUCAACGUCUUUCUGUGGCUUUUUCUUACACAUAAAGACAAAAUCGUGCAGAUUUUGAUUGUUCCAACUAAACUCUUUAUACAUGGAAUUUCCGUUGUAGAAUAGUUUCUUUAUUUGAUGAUAGUUGGUUUUGUAGCUAACUUAACUUCUAUCACUGAUAGUACUUAAAUGUAUAUCCUAUUGAUUGACAACAUUUUAUUCUUUUUCUUUUUUACAUUCUCCUGUGUUUGCUAUAGAGUAAAAUUUUUUGUGACUGUCUGCUAUAUUUAUGUUGUACUCUCUUUAAGCGAGUUGUACUCUCUUGCACUGUGAUGUAUGCUUAUAUUCAUGUGGUUUUUGUAGGUUCAACUGGAGCCGACAACUUCAUGAGUUUUGGUUCAAAGAAGUUUAUAUGGACCAUCAAAAUACACUGGCUAGCAUGGUUCAAGCAACAAAACAUAUUUUCAGAGAUGAAGGCUUACCAAUUGGUUGUUUAUGCUUGUGCAGAAAAUCAUAUUAUAUGUAUUUUGAUGGUAUUUUUACUGGUUUUGAUUAAGGGUUAGAAUUUCAUAGUUUCUGUUUUUUAUGUACUUGUAAAUUGUUUCAAACUUGAUUAAAAAUGUACGAAUAUUACCAAGUGUAUUAUAGCGUAUAUAUAUUAAAAUGUCAACUGUUUGUUUCUAUAUGGGUGUGAUGUAUUAGAACAUUAUUGUUAUUCAAAUGGUUCGUGUAAUGACAAAGCGGUAAGAAGAACACGAUAAACUAUAGUAAUUGAGGAAUUUGCAACGAGAAAAAAAUGUCAUAAUAUAUGAAUUCGUGACAUUUCUUAAUUGUUUUCAAUAUUAAAACAAUGACAAUUUUUAUAAAAAAAAAACUGUCAUGAUUGACCUAUCUUUGGCAGAAAAAAAUGUCGUCAAUAGCAAAACAAUGACAUUUUAUUUUAUAAAAAAUUGCCACGAUUGACAUAUGUUUGAUAGAAAAAAUUGUCAUAAAAUAUGAAUUCGUGACAUUUUUUUAACUGUCAUCAAUUUUGAAAAGAUGACAUUUAUUUUUAUAAAAACUGUCACGAUUGACAUAUCAUUGACAUUAAAAAAAUGUCAUAAUAAACAAAUUUGUGACAUUUUUUUUAACUGUCGCUAAUAUGCAAAUGAUGACAGUUAUUCGUUGUCAUAAAAUAAAAUGUUACAGUUAUUUGUUGUCAUAACAUAGUAAUUAAUGACAUUUAUUUUCAGUCAUGAAAAUACUUAUUGAGACAGUUUUCGAAAACAGUCAUGGAAAAACUUUUCACAACAGGCAAUAUUAUGACUGUAAAUCACUAUCACGAAUUUUGUUCGUGACAAAAAAUAACUUCAUCGUAGACCAUUUUUGUUGUAAUGUUGGAUAUGACCUUAACGUAGUUAUUUUUUAUAGGAAAACAAAAAUUUUCAAUUAAUGCUCAACGUAUAUAAAUUCCGAGGGAAGAAAAGGAAAAAACAAUGGGAGAACAAUGAUAAAGUAAAAAAUAAGCAUCCAAAAAAUAGAGUGAGCAAAGUGGCCCAUAAAUGAUGUAAUAGGGUGCGAAAGGAUGAGUCCUUCAAACAUUUCUGUAUUGGAACUUUUCUGUAUCAUCACACAUUAAUAGAACUAUUUAUUGUCUACAAAUCUAUUUCCUUCUUUCUCUUAAAUGCGAAAGAGAUGUUAUUUUCUUCUGUUUGUUUGUUCAAUUUCCCUAUUUGCUUUCUUUUUAAUAAUCUCAACGAGACUUUUUCAACUAAUUUACGCUCAUUAGAUUUACAAUUAUAGAAAAUCAUGGAUACACAAAAGUAGAUUAUCCAAAGUUCGUGAGUUCGGUGUGAAAAACUUCAUCAAACUUUAGUAGAAAGGGUGUUAGACAUUAUUUAUAUGUUAAUAAUAUUGAUGAAAGUUAUAAAAUUUGGUUUUAGCAUGAGGAAGUACUUCUAACUCAGCCUUUUAUGAAGAAUCUUCAAAGUUUGACACACAUACAUGUGAAGAGAAUGAUGUUGGAAGUGUAAAAGAAAUGAUUGAAGUUGUUCAUAAGAAGUAUUCAAAAGACUCAAAUGGAUUUGAGAAGUUGCUUAUUGAUGCUGAAAAACCAUUAUACGAAGGAUGCAAAAUGUACAACAAAUUGUCUACUCUACUUAAAUUGUAUAAUUUUAAAAGAUGUAUGGAUGGAUCGAUACUAGUUUUUCAGAAUUACUCAAAACUUUGAAGAAAAUUCUGCCUACUAUCAAUGAGUUGCAAAAUUCAUUAUAUAAGAAGCAAAGAAAACACGCCCUAAAAAUUGUGUUGUCUCUACGGGAAAAAAUAUGUUAAUGCAAUUGAAUGUAGAACUUUGGUCAAUCAAGGUGGAAAAACGUUAAUGAUACAAAUGAAGAGUGAAAGCGAAUUUUCUCAAAAAGGAUAUGAUACUUUCGACCAAUUCCACGAUUCAAAAGGCUAUUCAUAAGUAUUGAAUGUGCUAAAAACUUGACUUAGCAUGCUAGUGAAAGAAUUAAGGAUGGUAAGUUACGACAUCUAGUAAUCUCUUCAGCAUGGAAGCUAGUAGACUUUAAAUGGUCAGGCUUUGGCUUUGAACCUAAAAAUCUUCGUUUAGCAUUGUCAGUGGAUGGAGUAAAACCUUUAAAUACAGUUGACAAUGCUACAUUUAAAACUCAAUGAUACAUCCGAUGGAGUAAAUCUUCGUUUUAAAUAAAGUUGUUGGCCGAUAGUGAUGGUUAUUUAUAAUGUUCCACCAUGGUUGUUUAUGAAAAGAAAAGACAUGAUGUUAUGAAUGCUAAUUUUAGGGCCAUGACAACCGGCAAAUAAUAUAGGCACAUACAUAGCACCACUAAUUGAAGAUUUAAAACUUUUAUGGAAAAGUGGUGUUGAAUGUUAUAAUUCUUAUUGAGAAUAAAUAUUCAACUUAAUGUCAUUUUUGUUGUGACCGAUCAACGAUUUUCCUUCGUAUGGUAACCGUAGUGGAUGUGUUAAAAGAGACAUGUAAUUUGGGAAGAAAAUAGCAUGCCUAGAACAUCAAAGAUUUCUAGCAGGCAAUCGUCUGUAUCAAUGAUAAAAGAAGUCAUUAUUCAAUGGUAAAAAAAGAGCUUGGUACAAUUCCAUAACCACUUUUUGGGAAGGUUAUGUAUUUAAAAUUGAAAGAUCUUGAGUUUCCUAGAGAGAAGAAGAACCAUAAGAAGAUGUCAAUGAACAUAAUGAAAAGAUUUAUGUAACGCUCCAAAAAUUAAGAUAAUAUUUAAUUUGAUUAUCUUAAUUUUAUUUAAUUAUGUAGGAAGUAUUGGACGUUAAUUUAAAAUAUUUGAUUUAGAAUUGAUGGUCUUAUGAAAUAAGAAUUAAUUUAAUAUUUCUUGGUUGAAUAUUUGAUUAAUUUAUAGAAUUUGAUUUUUGAUGGUGUUGAGAUUGAACUUAAUUAAAUAAAUUGAGUGUUUAUUUAAUUAAAUUAAAAGGUAAAAAUUUUGUUACUAGACAUUUGAUAAUUAUAUGUCCAUGUGGUUAUAUAUAUAUAAUUAUUAUGGAAAAGAGUAAACAUAAUUUUAUCUAUAAAAAAUUAGUUAUUGUGGAAGAUAAUUAAUUAUUUUGGAGAAAGAUGAAUAUUGAUUGUCGAGAGAAGGGUAUGAUCGGGUAAAUAAGGAAAGGGAAGGAAUGAGAUUUAUUUAAAAGUAAAAUUGAUAAUUAUAUAUUGGGAAUAUAAUUAUUGAAAAAUGUUUGAGUUUUUAUUAAUUAUAUUUAAAUUAUUUCACUGUUAUAUUAAGGAUUGGAGCUAAAAUUUAAUUAUUAGAUUAAGAUAAGGGAAAUUUUUAACAAUAGUAGAUUUUACAAAAUUAUUUACAACUUAUAGUAAAUUCCAUCACUGAUAGUCAUUGAUAUGUUGCAAUGAUAGAAGACUAUUAGUGAUAAAAUCCAAAAUUUUGCUAUAGCUUAUAAAUAUUUAAUUUAUUUUGCUAUUUUUAAAAAUGCCACUUCAGACAUAUCAUAUUAACAUUUAUGAUAUUUUAAAAUAAUUGAUUUAUUGGAGAAGAUUUGGUUAAGUAAAAGAAUCGUGGAUUUAAGUUAAUUUAAAAUUUUGAAAGCAAAAGCUAGUUUUUGUGGUAUGAAAUUAAUUAUAUAUAUAUAUAUAUAUAUAUAUUUAAUUAAGAAUUUAGAUUUUAGUAGAAUAUGAUAUUAAUUAUUGAUUUUGUAUAAAUAAUUAAGGGGCAUUUUUUAAAAUAAUAAAAUAAAUUAAAAUAUUUACAUGUUAUGACAAAAUUUUUAAUUCUAUAACUGAUAGUCUUCUAUCACUGUAGCAUAUCAGAUAAAAUUUGUUAUAACUUGUAAAUAUUUUGUAAAAUUUGUUAUUUUUGAAACUUUUCCAAUAAUUAAUAUGAAAAAGUAAAGUUAGUUAUAUGAUGUAAUAUAAUUAUAAUUGUUUGGAAAUUAAGAUAUAAUCUAUAAGAAGAGAGAUGAUUGAUUUGAUUGAACGAGAAAAGAUGAUAUAUAUAAUUUGGAGAUAGAAAAAUGGUUUAAAUAAAGAAAAACUAUAAAAAAUUGCAAAUUUGACAAAAUAUUUAUAACAUAUAGUAAAAUAUUCAGAUUCUAUCAAUAAUAGACAUCGAUAGCCACGGAUAUGCUUUUAUCAAUAACAUUAAUAAACAAUGAUAGAAGUCUAUCGGUGACCAUUAUUGAUAGAAUCCAAAAUUUUGUUAAAGCUUGUAAAUAUUUUAAUUUAUUUUGUUAUUUUUAAAAGGAAAAUUACAUCAAAUAACAGAAACAUUUAAAAAAAAUAGUUUAUGACAUCAAUUUUUUGCAUAUUGCGAAUAUGAAAAAAUUAGUGAUAUCAUACGACUAUCAAAUGAUAAUCGUAGGGUUAUCGGAGGGCUAUUAGAUUAUAAUCAUAGCGCUAUCAGAGGGUCAUCACUUUUAAAUUUGUUACUUCUGCAAAUUUAGAAAAUGUUGUGACAUUGGCUUUAUUAUCAUAAUUUUUUUUUUGCUAUUUUUGUAAAAGUUCCUUUUAAGAAUGUUUCUAAAUAAAUAUAUAUGUUUUAUUAUAUAUUUUGGUGAGAGAAUAAUAAUAAUAAUAAAGAAGUUUUAUUAUUAUUAUUAUUAUUAUUAUUAUUAAUAUUAUUAAUAUUAUUAAUGAUUAUGAAUACCUAAGAUUUUGUGCGCUUAUGUAAUUUAUUGUUGAAAGAUAAUGAGAAUUUAUAUAUGUAUAUAUUGGUAUGAUAUAUGUAUAUAUGUAUGUAUAUAUAUGUAUGUAUCCUAAAAGGAAAAGUAAACAAUAAAGAUAAAUUUUAUUAUUUAGGUCUAUAAAUAGCAUUGAAAUGCUCUAAAAGAGAAACAAAAAAAAAAGAAAAGGUUCUUCAUCUUCUUGACUAAGUUUAUUAUUGGAAUUGAUUUUGGUUGCAUGUCUUUGGAAAGUCCAUUUGACAAAUUUAAAUAAUAAAUUUUUUCCAUCAUGGUUAAAUUGGUUUCAACCUCAAUUUUGAGAUCGAUUUAAUCAGAAACUUUUUACUAUCAGCUAGAGAGUAUUAUGUUUAGUUAAUCUCUCACGUAAGAGAUUCUACUAUUGGACAAUCAAACAUAAAAUUAAGAAUUUGCAUGUAUUUUUCCUUAUUAUGCAUUGAUUUAGUUAAGAUGCAUAUUGUAUUGAUAUUGAUGACUGAUGUUGAUGAUUGAUAUUGAUGACUGAUAUGUUAUGACGACGCAUGAUAUAUUAAUCACAUGAUAAGAACGUUAUGAGUGAUAUACAUGUCAUGUUAUGAUGUUUAUGAUGUUGCUACAUGCUUUUGUGGUCAUUCGCAUGAGUAGGGGUGUUCCUACGAGACCACUCGCACAAUUUAGAAGUGUACCUACGUAUCACAUGCACGAUUAAAGGACAUUUUUACUGUAUACGGGGUCACUCGCACGACUAGGGGUGUUUCUAUAUAUAGGCCACUUGCACAAUUAGGAGUGUUUGUAUGAUCUCACUCGCUCAAGUGUGCUCUAUUGGAUACACAACAUUAUUAUUAUGUUUCUAACAGAAAGUUAACAGAUCACCUAACGGGACAAGUAGUGGGUCCCUUACUGGGUAUAUUUUAUAUACUCACUAUUUUCUAUGUUUCAUAUUUCAAACAAAGGUAGAGGAUCGAAAAACUGGCAAGCGACAUGAAAGGUCGGUGACAUGCUAUAUUGGGACUCAGUUUUGCUUCUACCUCUAUGUAUUAGAAUUUUAGUAUUUUGGUUUUAGAAACCUUAUUUAAAGUUUAUCUUUAUUUCUUUUAAAAAAAAUUAUUAGUACCCGCAGUUCACGUUUUCAAAUUAUUUUUAUUUGUUUUGUUGAUUUUAUGUCUUCAACCAUUUAUUGAUAUUAGUUUUAUAAAACUUCUAGUUUUCUUUUUUCAUUUUUAAAUGUAAAUGAUUAUUUGUCUUUCAGUAAUGACCUUUACUUAGUUUAAAAGUAUGGGUCGUUACAGUUUUUUGAGUUGUCAUAUUAGAAAGAUCUUCAUAUUAGACAUUGUUUAGAUGUGAUGCACAUUGUAAAAAAUGUUUGUAUGAAUAUCUCAGGUACACUUCUUGGUAUACUUGAAAAAAGUAAGGAUGAGUUGAAUACUAGACAUAAUUUAAUUUAUCUAAAACUUUAACAAAAACUUGUCCGUAAAACAAAAGUAAAAAAAAAAAAAAAUCAUUCCUCUCGCAUGUUAUGCUCUUACAAAGGAAGAAAAACAAUGUGUUUUGAAGAGUUUAUUCGAAAUAAAGGUUCUUGAGGGUUACUCUUACAAUAUUAGAAACCUUGUGUCAAUGAUAGAUUUAAAACUUAACUAGUUUAAAAUCUCAUGAUUGUCAUGUGCUCAUACAACAGUUUUUUCUUUCCCAUCGCGAUAAGAUCAUUGCUAUCAUAACAUGUUCAUUAUGCUAUAAUUUAGGUUUUGCAUAUUUUUCAAUUCUAUAUGUAACAAGGUAUUAGAUGCACAACAAUUAGACAAGUUGGAAGAAGAUAUUGUGGUAACAUUGUGUUUAUUUGAGAAGUAUUUUUCCCAUAAUCUCACACCAACAAUUCAUUUCAAAUAAUGUAAAAUUUCACAUGACUGCCUAUUUCAUAUAUUAUACAAUUCUUAACUCCAAUUUAAUAAGCUAACCUAAAGAAAAGGCAGUAUGAGAAUAAAUUCAAUAUAGAAGAGGAAAAGCAUUGGGCUCAUUAUAAAAGCCUUUUAUUUCAACUUCGUUACCUUGAGUUACAAUCUCCAUUGAACUAUGGCAUUAAUGAUUUCCAAAUUCAUUAAGAUAUUGAUUGACUUAGGUCAAACAUAGCUUUCUAAAUUUUAUAAUAAUUAGCAAAUAAUAACAAUCAGAAGAUUACCCUGUGGUUUUGCCCUACUUGUAUACAACUUGGUGUGGGAUGAAUAACCUUGUUCAUAAGCCACAAGCACAACUCAUCACCUAAGACUACACCUGGACCUCCAACCAUUGGUUAAUUCUCCAAGUAAAGUUCACACACAGUUGUACAAAACCUAUAGAAAAAAUUAUGUUCAAGAAAGGUCGUAAUUGUAAAGUUCAAUCUACUCCACUGAAAUUGAGUUAUAAUGAGUUUGAGAAUGGUGAGCACAGUGAAUUGAGAAAAUAAAAUCAGCAAUUGAUUCUUCUUCCAUCAUUCUUGGAGAUUCAAAUUUUGACCUUAAUAUUUGUAGUGGUGAGGUUUUUACUUUUGAAGUUCCUUCGUAAGCUACUUCAAGAAUCUUCCAAGCUUGUCCUGUCCAAAUACUUGUAUUUAUUAAUUUAAGCACACUUUGAACAACUCCAUCGUAGAUAGCAUUAAGUGCACGCGAAUUUCUAAGAGAAGCUUGAUCUUCCGCUUCAAUUCAUUCUAUUUUAGGUUUAAGAGUUGUUUUACCAUCAAUUUUUUAUACUAGGAGGUUCCCAUCCAGUAACAACAGCUUUCCAUGUUUUACUAUUAAUGGAUUUGAGAAAUAUAGUCAUGUGAGCCCUCCAUUAAGCAUAAUUUGUGCCAUCAAGGACAUAUGGUCAAGUAGUAGACCCUCAUAUUCUUUAAUUAGAUCAAUUUCAUUAUACCCUUAGUUUGAUACCAAUUGAAAAAGUAAAAUAUAUUACUUUUUAAGUUGUUACUUUAGUUAGAGGCUAAAUUUAUAAUUAAGGAAACAAGAAGUAAACAUAACGUUGGAACUUUGAAACUUUGAUAAUCGACUUUGAUCAAUAUCACCUAUUUCUAGAGAGCUUUGAAGGUUAGAUAAAUUUAUUUUAUUAAGAUUCAAAUUAGUAUAAUUUUGAGAAAAAAAAUACUAUAUAACACUUUAUUAAACUAGAUGCCACUUUCUCUAGAUUGAUACGCUUUUAGUAAUUGAUAUUUACUAAAAGAAUUCGACUCCCCUUUGAACCUAUUGAAGAUUAUUAGGCUCCCCUAAUUUUUAUAUAAUUGAACACAUCCAAUUAUUAAGGUCUUUUUUUAAUCUCUUAUCUUCGUAUAUCUUGAAUCGGUCUUGAAAAAAUCAUAUAGUCUUCAUUAAAAUAUAUGUUUAUAAGAUAAAGACUAAUCUUAGACAAAGAUCCUUCUAUGUGGCUUUUUGUUGAAUGCGUCUUAUUGAAUACCUAGAAGGAGAAUGAAAGUUCAUUUUUAUAAAUAGAUAUUGAUAAAGGUCGAACCAAAAUUGGAAAAGUAAUCUUUAAAGAUAUUUUAGUUAAAAAAUCAAUCUUUAAAGAUGAUUCUUGAUCAAAGAUCUUGAAGAGACUUGGUGAUGAAGAAGUAAAAAAUAUCUUCUUGAACAAAUUUUCAUGUUAGAGAAAAAGUGAAUUCUUACCAACUUAGAAGAUAUUUUAAAAUAGUUCUUUUAAAUAAAUAAUUUUUUGUAAAAAACGUAACAGUAUGUUAAAACAUUCAUAUUUGAAGGACAUCAUAUACCAGUUUUUUAAUAAGUGACAAACAAAAUCAAGAGAAGUCUACUCUUAUUUCAUAAAGUGAAAAACUAUUCUGAUCUGGAUUCGCCCAUCCAAUCUGCUAAAGAACUAUAUGCUAUUCCAAAAGGAUGAAAAGAGGAAAGGAAGGAAGGAAGGAAAGAGAGAUCCAAAAACGAAGAGAGACACAUUCCAAUUGGGCACUAAGCAAGAAAAUUUUGAAGAGAAUUCGAUUCUUGUUUCUCCUUGUGAUUGCAUGAUACAAAAGCUUUAUCGCAAAUGAUUUGAUUCUUUGGUUGAGGUCCAACUCUUUCAAUUUGGUUUAGAUACCAAAUUCUACAAAAUUGGAAUAUAUUCACACAAGCGCUUCCUUCCAUCUUUCUUCCUCCAUAAAAAAAGGCUUCUAGUUGACGCUGUUAAUUACUAUAUAUCAAUGAAGUAAAGAGGGAAAAGAAAAGCUUCAAUAAUUAACUACAAUUACCAAAACUAAGUUGAUCGAUGCCUUUUCUAGGUCGGAGACUAAUCAGACCACCUUCCGAUCCUCACUUUCGAGCUGUUACUUCUGUAAAUACUAUUGGUGUAAGCUUCCAAAAUCUCAUUUAUGAUUUAUAUACUAAUUUUUUUUUAUUUAUAUUAUCAAUUGUCACAACUAUGUCAUAAAUCUAAUUAAUUCGAAUGAAACCAUAUCUCUAGAUCUCUAUACAACGACUUUGUUAUUAGGCUUAACUUACUAGUAUAUAUAAGAUUGUUGUUGGUAAAAACAUGAGUAGUUCAUUAAAUUGUUACGUACGUAUUAUUAUUUUUCAGCGUUUUUAAAUUCACAACCAGAUCACAAUUCUCAAUCUCUUUUUCUUUCUUUCUAAAUUUAAAGUUUUCAAAUGGUUUGGGUUUGUUCAUAGGUUUUAUGUGCUUAUAAACUUUAAUAUUAUACUAAUUUGGCAUUAGAAGAAAGUAUCUAUAAUUCAGUUUAAAUAUAGUUGUGUUUGAUAUGCUUAUCAAAGGGUUUGCAAAUGAGUAAAAUUUGUGUCCUUAAAAGUUACUAAUGUUUGGGUUAACUCUUAAUUAUAGAGAGGUAAAAACAAAUAUAAAUAAAACUUAGAAGUCUUGACUAAUUAUUUCUUUCAAAAGUGCUUAGGUAAUUAGUGUUUUAGUUAAAAAAGAAAAAAUAACAAAAAGAAAAAGUUUAGUCUUUCCCUGUACAAAGGGUUGUUUGAGGUCCAAACACAAGAUAAAUGAAUUCAAAUUAGUUUAUUAGUGUUUGAGUUAGGAAGAAAAUGUGAAAGUUUAUCUUUUUAAUCAUUCAAUCUUUAAUAAUGAAGUUUAGUUUUUGAAUUUUCAUAACCUAGCCUUUUAGUCCCUUAAUCGUUAAAAUGUGUUUAAAAAGUUAAUUUUUUAAUGUUAAAUUAUAAAAAGAAUUUGGAAAAGAUAAGUUUACUAUUUAAAAUUACUUUUAAAAAAUCAAUUUGAAACUGCUAUACAAUAUACAUAUAUAUAUAUAUACAUAUAGUUGAUUUUACGGAAUAAAUCUCUAUUUCAUUGAUAAUUUAGUAGAGUACGGAAAUAAUAUCAAAAUAAUAUCAACUAAAAAUAAUUUUAUUACGUUAAUACAUAUAUAUAUUACAUUAGGAAAAAUUUAAACCUAGCCUAAGAGGAACCUUAUAUAAAGACGGUAAUUAACAAGAAAAAUUAUUUUAAAUAACAAAUUUGUUUAAAUAAUUAUAAAUAUAGUAAAAUAUUACUAUCUAUAUAAUAUUGUUAUGUUAUAGAAGAUAGACUACUAUAUAAUUAUUGUAAUAAUGAUAAAUAUUGGUUUGUCGUAGUUCAUCGUAUAUAAAGUGAGAUAUUUUAAAUAUCUCACUCAAUUUAGUUAUAUUUGAAAAUGUUUUUAAAUUUUGUUUGGAUAGAAGUAAAAGAUGAUAUAUAAUGUCAUAUUGUUAAAAGAAGACGAUGUAAACAAAGGUUUUAUCAUAUUUGUAAUAUAACAUUUAAAUUGAGGAUAGUCACAAUGUUUUAGGAGGACACAUUCAAAAUUUAUCCAAGGGCUCUAAAUAUUACAUGGGGCAGUGAUAGACGAUAUUGGACCAUACCUCGUCGAGACCGGUAAGCUUCAUCUUUUUAACUUUUCUCUAUUUUAUUAUAUUUUGAUGCUUAGCUUCCUUUUCUUAGAACAUAAAUUCAACUUUAAUUUUCCAACCUACCAUAAUUUAACCAAUUUAGGUAUAUAUAUUUUCCAUGCAUAAGAAAAGAAAAGAAAAAUUCUUAUCUCAUACCAUAUAUAUGUUAAAUACCGAAAUAAUAAUAAAGAAAAUAUACUUUUUUGUUCUAAUGUUUUGAGUAAUGGGUAUAUUUGGUUCCUUGAAGGUUCAAAAUAGAAGUUUUUAGUCAGUAGGUUUCGAAAAAUAAUAAGAGUUUUUUUGUUUGAUUUUGAUCGAUUUUUGGUCUCUAUAAUUGGUGAUAUCUUAUAUAAAAAUGGAAUCUGGGGUAAGAGAUGGAAAAAGAAGGUUGGUGAAGGUUGAGGUGCCGGAAAAGUUGGAAGAAGAAGUGGCGGAAGAGGAGGUUGAGGUGAAGGUUGGUGAGGGGCAAGGUGUGAGAGAGAGAGAGAGAGGGAUCCAUCCCUAAAAUAAAAUAGGAACGAUAAAGAUGUAUUUUCUAAUAAUAAAACAAAAAACAAAUCUUUUUUACAAACUCCUCCUUUUAUGUUUAGCCUUAUUAAUGUAUAUUUUAUAGUGGUUCUUAAGUUUUCAGUUCAGGAUUAUAUUGACUGGGUGGGCGGUUUGUGUAGGACGACGGAUGAUGAAGAUGAAGAUUAUUUUGCUGAGUUAAAACAAGUAUGUUGGUUAGAAGUAACAGGUUCAACCAACAGAGAUCUUGUGCCUGAAAAAACGUACAAAGUUUCUUUUGGUGUCUCACUAGGACCCGAUGCUUUUGGAUGGGAUGAUUGUAGCGUUUACAUAAUGGCUAAGAUUGGUAAAAAGGGAAAUUUCCGUUUCCAGAAAGUGAAUCUUGGAAUCAUAACUACUACAACUGAUCCAGAAAUUUCCUUGAUUCCUUUUACUGAAUUGACUGUUACAGUACCUACGCCCAGAACUAAUAAUAAUAAUGAUGAUCUCAAGCUCUACUUUGGUCUCUAUGAUGUUUGGACCAAUAGGUGGAAGGGAGGGUUGAGGAUCCAUUAUGCAUUGGUUGAAAUGGUCAUUGGUUCUAAUAAUGAUACUCAAACCAAUUAAACAGAAUAGUAGGUGACCACUCAUAUAUAUUUCAUGAUUAAUGGAAGGGCACAUGAUCUUUUGUACAUCAAACAUCCAUGAAUGUUCUUCAGAUUGUGUAAUCCAUAUGCAUGUAAUAAAAUUCAGUCAUAUGUGGCUGUUUCAUUUUUUAUUUGAAUUCUUAAAUUUAUGUUCUACCGUAAAUAAAUAAAAAAAAUUGAAUUCCUGUUAACUUUUCCAAUUUUGAAAAUGUAGCAAGUUUUUAAUUAACUUGAUAUUUUUUAUUUUAAACUUUUAAUUAUUUCAAAACUAUCCUUCUUCUCCACCGUUCUUCUCUUCGGUUUGUUUUUCAAUUACGUUUCUCCUCUUCCUCUGCUUUUUUCUUCUUUUAUUCCCCUCCUUCAUUCUUUAUCUUACAGGGAAAACAAUUUGUUUCUUCAACUACAUAUUUCUUUUUCCCCUUUUUUUAAAAUCCUAAUCAUUAUUUCAAACAAUUUGUUUUUCUUAACCGGUAGAUUACGAUUGGUGUCUAAAAUUGGUAGGGGAGAUUUGAUCGUCUUCUUCUCUCCUCCUUCUGCUGCCCCUCUUUCUACUGAUCCUCCAACUUCUUCUGCUCUUCCUCCUCCUCCUUCUCCAUCUUUUGUUGUGAAUCACUCGUAUUUAUUAUUUAUUGAAAUUAAAGCUACCAUUUAUUCUUCUCAAUCUUGAUCUUGAUUUUAGAAUAUCAAUUAUAUAUUAAUUGUAUUAUGAAAUAUAAUAGUUGUUGAUCGGAUUAACUUAACUUCUGUUUGUGAAUGUUCAUUACUUUGUUCGAUAUGUAUUUUGGAGUUGAAUCUAUUUUCAAAUGAUUUAGUUUUAUUUUCUUUUACAUUAUUAAUUAUGUUUUGGUUUUAAUUUGUAUCAGUUUUGUGUAUCAAUAUUGUGAUGUACUUAUAUUAUAUAUGUAUUAGUUAAGUUGGUUGAUAUACUUACUAUGAGAUUUUCAUUUUUGCAAAACUUUUGCACUACUUCAUUAUAGUUAUGGUUAAGUAUAUAAUAAAUUAUAUGUAUCAAGUGUAUGAAUUGUAUAAACUAGUAGUGCAAUUAUAUGAAUGAUAUAAUUUAGUGUAUCAAUCAAUAAUACAUUAGUAAAAUAUAUCAGUACAUUAGUAAAGUGAUCAUUAUCAAGUUUACAUGUAUAUAUCAAUAGUGUAUAAAUAGGACUUCAAGUGUAACAAACAAAUUACGUGUAUCAAUUGUAUCAAAUUCUUUUAGUUUACCAGUGAAGCAUAACAAGUUUAACAGCAGUGCAUCAAGUAUAACAAAAUUAACAUUUAAGCAUUUAAGUAUAUUAAAAAAAUCAAAUAUAUUAGUGAAACACAAUGUGAGGACAAGUUUGUAGCUUUCCAUUUUCAAAUAUAAUUUAGGUUGGGUUUGGGUUUUGACAUUUUUGCAAAACCAAAAGUUGUGUUAUAGGCCUAAUUGAUUGAACCUAUUAAUUAUUAUGUUAAAUGUGCAAGAAUUCCUAAAAAUCAUAGUGAAUGUAUUUUAAAUACAUCAACAAGUUAAGUUAUCAAACAUCAAACAAUAAACGUAUAAAUAUUUUAAAUACUCAAAUGUAUCAAACAUCAAUCAAUAAAUACUUGAAGUAACAUUCCAUGAGCAUUGACAAUAUAUGAAAGUAUCGACAAUUAUAUAUAACAAUAAUCAUCAUUUCAAAUACAUCAACAAUAUCUUACAGCAACUUACAACUUACAACUUAUAACUGACAACAUUCAAUCAAUAAUUUAUUUUGGAGUAAAAGUACAUGUGUUACAUUUUAAGGGUAUCGGGUGUGUUAUGUGAGACCCGUUUCUAAUUUGAGUAAGGAAGUAAAAUUCGGCCAAGUAUUAAGAAGUUGGUGUUUAAAUAAAUCUAUGUAAAGGAUUAAGCAUAAAAUCUUUACUGGUUAAGUAUACGUCUUUAUGAUUAAGUGGAUAGUUCACGAAAGAAGUUGUGUGAUAAGACGAGAAAAAGUCUUAACGUAAGUUAAGAAAUUGAAGUUUUGAGUGUUAGACUAGGAGUUUUGGGUGGUCUUCGCGAGAAGAACCAAGUGUUUCACGGAGAAGAAGUCUGCGAGGAAGCCUUGGUGUUUCAGUUUGCGAUAAAAGUUUUGUGCGAGUAAAAGUUGGUUAGGUCGUGUGGAAGAUUUCUUAUAGUAAAAAUAUAACCACGUGAUAAGGUUAUUCACAAGAAAUGUUAAGUGGUUAAAGUUAUUCGCGGUUUGGGUUUGGCAGGAAGCAAGGUUUGGCAAAGAAAAUGUCAAAUCUGAUUUGAUAGACGUUAAUGUGUAAGAUUAAGGAUUUAAGCAUGGCUAUGUUGAAUACUAAAUUUACACGUGUGAAGUUUUAAGCAAGAGCUGGCGAACCGAGAAGAGUUUAUGCUUGACUAAAUUAGUUUAAGGGCUAUAUAAAUAUGAGGAUUUGGGUAACUAAGGAGGGGAUUAUUAGAGUUUUGUUGAAAUGUUAAGUGUUCUUGGUUUAGCCAUGCGAGAAGAUGCUUGCGGAAAAGACUUUUUUAGUAAAGUUUGGUUAGUGCUUUUCUCUCAAAUGAAUUUAUGUUAAAAAAAAUUAUUAUGAUUUCUCUUUACUAAUUUAAAAGAAGAAUUCAAAUGAAAAUGUUUGAAAGAGAUUUCUAUGAAAAAUUAUGUUUUCAAUAAUUAUUUAUAGUGUUAAAGCUUGAUUUGAUGAUUAUGAUUUCAAUACUAUAUUUCUUUGAGAUGAUGCUAACUUUUAUGUGCACAUAAAGAAUCAAUGCCAUCAUAGGAUGUACGGUCUAUAUGGUGAUAAGAAGUUAGCUUAUGUAUUGAAAGGAGCAUAUAAAGCUUAGCGGUCUGAGCAACAAUGACGAAUUUGUAUGUUCUCAGAUGUUGUUGAUACAGUAGUCUAAACGCGAGGUAAUGAGACCAAACAUAGAAAACGAAUCGGGUUCCUUGGCAAAAUUAAAUGAUUUGUUAAGCAUAAAUAAAAGUUUAUGCGAAAUUAAAUGAUUUAUCGAUAUGUUUAAAUGAUUUGAUAUUAUUUCUACGAAAUGAUUAUGAAAAGGUAUUGCGAAAGGUUUUUAUAAAACCCCACUAAAUCUUUUAGACUUAUGUUUUAAAAUUUUAUCUUCCAGGAUCAGGUGUUUAGGCUAAGUAGAGAAGAAUGUUGAAGAAUUUGCGGUGAGGUGAUUCAACGCGUUUUAAAAAUGGUUAAGCAUUGGUUAUUUGGUCAAAAUAUUGUAAUAAUAAUGUAUGAUUAUCUAAAGAAGGAAGCUUGAGAAGUGUUGUCCCUAACUGUGGAAACAUAGUUUUUGACAUGGGCAGGGGUCAAUUGGUAUACUAAAAGAAUCUAACUAGGAACACUAAGAAAUGAUAUGUAAAAAAAAUAUAUCAAAGGGCUUGAGAUCAUGAUAUGUAAUAUUCUAUCAAACGCUCCAAAUUGAUUGGAAUCUGAAAUGAUUUAUUUUUAAAUUGAACACUUGAAGAUUGGUUUAAUAUUUCAGGUUUUGGAGGUAUGUCUGUGGCACUAAUUCUUGGUUGUAUUUUUCUUAUUUUUAUUUGUACUAGUUAGUCCUUUGAGCCGCUGCAAUGAUAUGCAUCCAAGUGAACUUUACUUUAAGGUGUGGGCAAUUGUGAACUCAUCAAUCUACCCCUCGUACUUAAAGCUCUAACAUUGAAAAUAAAACUAAUAACAGUUUAUGUUAUCAAUUGGAUCCUUCGUGGAUUGAGUAUUUAGAUCUUGGGUCUGUGAUAGAAUAGCAUAGGAUGUAAUUCUUAAUUUUUAGAGAUUGUUUCUUGUCUUUAAUUUUAUAUUUUACUUUUGCAUUUUUCAUAGCUUACAAACUAAUUUGAUUUUGGGAUUAUUUCUUAGCAAGAUCUGAAUUUUGGUAGUUUGGCAUGAUGCUGGCACUUACGAUGUGGUUACAAGACUGGUGGACCUAAUGGAUCGAUUAGAAUCAAAGAGGAGCUUUCUCAUGGUUCUAAUAAUGGACUGAAAAAAGCUAUUGAUUUUUGUGGUAUGUUUCUUUUUAUUCUUCCUUUAGUUUUUUCUUCUUUGCAUUGUGGAUCAUGCAAACUGAAAGUCAAUCUAAUAAUUGAGAUUAGAUGUCUACCUUUUUUGUUUAUGGGACUACAUAAGAUUAUCCUUUUCUAAUGUGUUUGAAUUUUUCUCUUUUGUUAAUCUUAAUGUGAGAAAUAUGUUUUUAUUGAAAUUGUUUUUGCGUAGUUGCACGUACUGUGAUUUUUUUUUAUUUCAACAUGAGAACUGAUAUCCCAAGAAACUUUAGAAUGAAAUAUGUAAAUAGUUGGUCGGCAGGACUUAGUUUCUUGUAAAUGCUAUGUUGGCUAAUUUACAACCCAGUUCUACCACCAACCUCCACUUUCAAUCCCUUCUCACACACAAUCUUUAGAACAACACCAUGCCUCUCACCGGCUUCAUCGGCUCCUCAUCGACUCCCAAGAUCGAUGAUAUGGGUAAUCCCUUUCUCAACCUCACCAUCAAUGGCUUCUUGAAGAUCAUAUCCGUAUGUGUUUCUUGUUUUAUAUAUUCUUGAUUUUUUUUGUGUGUUUAUUAUGACUAAAUUUGAAAUGGGUUUUGUUUUUUUGGUUCUUUUUAGGUCGUUGCUACUUAAGUGGCUGCUGAGGAUGCUUAUCAUGUUGUUAGAAAAGGUUUUGUUUUUCUCGCCUUUUCCUGCAAAAUUGGUUUCAAUUUUUUGCUUUCUUUAUUGAUUUUAUGGUGUUGCUUUUGAUUUUGUAGGAACGAUUUCUAUUCACAAAUUUGAAAAUAGGUUUAGUAUCUCUUGCUUCAGACUAAGUUAUGGAGUCUGCUAGUUUAUGGCUUUUGAAUGGUGAAAAUUUCAAUUCGAGAAUGUUUAUAAUUAGGAACGAGACUUUUAAUUAGUAGAUUAUAGUUAUCUCUAUUUUUCUAUUUGUUGGGGUAGUUUCUCUUUUGAAUUAUCUAACACCUAAGUUUAGAGUUUUACAUGAAUAGACCAAGAUUACAUCCAAAUUAGAUCAAUAUCAAAGUAAUGAAAGUAUGAUUAAGUAAGACUAAUAGUUCUUAAUUUUUUAUAUCUAAGUACUUUUUUUGCAUACUCUGGUUGUGAAUCACUCCAAAACCCAACAUCUAAUUAAAUUAUUGAUGGAACCAAGAAAUCAUGGUCACAACUCCACAACUUUAGUCCUUUAUCUUUUAGUUACUUAUUAUAGUUUUAUUGAGGGGAGACCAAAAUUUGAUGUCUUGAAUAAAUAUAAAACGAUUCUCAUUUCUUAUUCAUGGUAUACCAUUUCUUACUCAUGGUAUACGAUUCUCAUUUUUUAUAUCUAAGUACUUGUCUUGAAUAAGUACAUACUUCACCGUCUAGGAAUGGAAUAAGAAAAAGAGAAUUUGAGUUUCUCUUUCAAGGAUAUGAUUAUUUUCUUGUUUUUUCACUUUUAGGAUGUUUAGUUAAUUUCAAUUGACAGAGAAAGAUAGAAGGUGAAUUUCCUUUCUUAGUGCGGAAUUUAGACUAAACUCUUCCUUUACCUCUCCAUCUGGGCUGCUAUGUGUCUCAAGCUAACCUUUCUAUUUUGUGAUUAUACUAAGUAAUGGCAAGUAAAGGAGAUACUGGUUAAUUAGCUAGCUGAGCUUAUUUCAAUAGUUAUCAAUUAAGAAGUAUGGUUGUUGUUGAAAAAUUAGUCAUUUAACCGUAUGAAACUAUAUUUUCUUCCUAUUACUAUCUUAUGGCAUUUUGAAUAAUUGAUUGAAUUGAGGAUUAGUAGAAAGUUCUAGCUCUUACUUCAAGGACGUUGUCGUUAUUUGUUCAAGUAAGUAGUUUCUACCUCCCUACCAAAAUACAUAUUCAACUAUUGUGGUUUAAAAUAUAAUUUGUAUCAUUCUAGUCUUGUUGAAAGUGUUUUAGUCUAAUUAGUAUGGUAUAUUAGUAAUAUAUCAGCGUUUGCUUGAAUUAAUAUCAUCUAAAAUCUCCAUAGUAGUUUUUUCCUUACUCUUAAAGAUCUUGUAGAAUUUCGAUUUGGGUAUGGAUCCACAAAGAAAAGUUUUAGUGUGUGAUUUAUGAAAAAAUAGAGAUUUAUGAAAGUUAAAAUUAGCUAAAAAGUCAUACUAGUUCUUUAUCUUUCUCAUAAUAUUUCAUUGGAAACUGACUUUGCAGGUAUAACUGAUGUUUAUCUUUUCAGUCUGAUUGAUGAAAAUGCUAAAAGUAUAGAACCAGAGAGCCUUGAAAGGCAUUGGAGAAUAUCUUUUUAGUUUGAUUGAUAAAAAUGCUAAAAGUAUAAUUAAUGUCUAUCUAUGCUUGUGGUUUAUUAAUUUUCUUUCUUCACUACUAAUUGAAAACAUAAUUUUGUUACAUAACUUAGGUUUAGUUGAGAGGGCUUAAUAUGAAGCUGGUGGGUGGGUACUUGUCGAAAGGAGAAUUAAAGGUAUUGUUCUAAGGUUUUCUUGUCUCUCUUUUUCAUUUUCUUUCAUUUUUAGCUUUCUAGUCAAUCAAUGAGUUUCUAUUCAUAAGGGUUAAUUCUAUGCUUUUAGAUUAUGUAUAGAUAUUGUGUUGCUAAAAGCUGAGAUUGUCGAGCUACUUUUAGCCAUUGUAGUUGUCAAUCUAGUUGGAACAAAGGAUUUGGAUAUUGAUCUUCAAAACUCAUUUCACUUCAGGUUUUUUAUGGUUUAUUUGUCAUGAGAUGAUUGGUGUUCUAUUCUUCAAUGUUUCUAUGUUUUAGGCUUAAUCAUGCUCUAAGGUCAGCUAUCAAUAUUAUACAAACUUCACAUAUGGAUCUUCUUGCAAUCAAAUAACUGCCGAAGGCAAUUCUUUGCUUGCGUCCUUGAGGUUUUAUUUUGUCAAUAUUGUGUGGUUCAUAUGGAUUGAGGAUUGGAAAUGUAGGUUUUAGCAUUGUGCUGUUUAAUUGGUGUUUUUAUUAUAAUUGAGAUAGGGUUGGUGUUGUGUAUGAAAAAGAACUGGAAAUAUAAGUGUGAGCUAGGGCUUGUGAAGGUUCACACUUUUUAACAUUCUAUUUGGUUUAUACUUACUUUAUUAGUGUCUUAGAAGUUGGUAUCUUUAUUUUUUAUUCUGGCAUGGAUGAGCCCUAGUUUGGAUCUUAGUUUGAAUUAGCUCAUAAAAUAGUGCCAUGUAUUGAGUAGUGCUAGUUAGGCUUAGACAAAAAAAAUGGUAUAAAACACUGUUUCAUCCUUCUUGACUUCAUGUAGCAAUGGUUAUUUUGCAUGUUUGGUUUUUUCAGUAUUGCGGUCUUCCAAAAUAUGGACAGCUUGGUCAUACACAUGGGAUAAUGUUGGACACUUCAUUCUAGUAACAAGCUAUAGGCCUAAAUUGCCGCAAGCUAGCUAUGCAUAUUGGUAUGUUGAUACAAGUAUGUUUUGACACGAACCCCUUCAGUUGGCCCAAUCAUAUGCAUUCCACAAAUUGGUAUAUAGUCUCAUUCAUUGCUUGUUAGGAAAAGCUAUUCCUUGAUUAUCGUAGUUACGCAAAACUCUGAUUGGGGUGGAAUUUGACUGACUGCAUUUCAGGCUUUUUUUUUGUUCAUUAACUUGAGUACUUGUUGUAAUCUUACUCUCUGUUUUAAUAAUUUGAGAGAAUUGGUGCAUGAUUAUUCAUAAUUCAUCUUUAUUUGCGAUGACUGCCUAAUAUAAACUGUUGAACUUUAAGGACUAGAAAUUGUAUUAGGUAUAUUGUCUUAGCUUUUUUAUUGUAAGGACUAGGAAUAAGGAUAUAUUUGUGAUUUGUCAUUAUUCAAUUUUAGUGGUUAUAUAUGCUAAAACAAACUUUUUGGAAAUUAAUAUAGCAAGUAGGUUUUGCUGCUAGUAGGAGGUAGGAGAAUUGUUGUGUGUCCUAAAAGACUAAACUGAUGGCUUAUAAUUUUAACUUCAAUGGCCCCUUCUUAGUUAAUGUCGUUCAUAUUAGAGGAUUAGGAGUAAUAGAUACCUUUUUUUCUUAUCAUGGAUAGUAUGCUUGUACCGAUUGACUAUUGCUAAAUUGUUACUUGUGUAAAUUGCCACGGGUGUUAUGUAUGUACUUAUUGCUAUUGCUACUUGUGUAAAUUGUCAUGAGUUUUAUGUAUGUACUCAUUGGUAGAGCUUUUUUUGGAUAAGAAACUAUGAGACCUUUAAUUUAUGUUAAAGCCAUAAAUGAUCAAAGUUGUUCCAAUUCCAUUUUCCUAGUACCUUAAUAUUUCUUGGCUUCGUUAACUGAAGUGGAUUGCACAUAAAACUGUCUUCUUUCUAAUAUUUGUAAAUUUGAAAGUGUUUGACUCCUUAAGAUGGAAACUUUUCGGUUCUUGUUGGAUAACGUUUUUUCCAACCUUAUUGACAGUGAACUACUAAUGGAUUCUUAAGUUUCAUUCAUCUCUAUUAUUACUUAUGAUUACUUAUUCAAUAAUUUCCUUGUAGAUUACUUAUUUAUAUCCACCUAAAUUUUCUAAAGAGUAAUGAUACAAGAGUUGUAAUUUGUAAAAAGUUCCAAUAUUGUAGACCAAGUGGAUGUUAAGGUGACACUGUUAUUCUACAUUUGUGUUCUGCUACGUAGUUGUUUCUCUUAUCGACGCAUGUAGUGAUAGGUAAUGUUCAAUGUUGAAACUUUCUAUAAGAGUUGUACUCUCUUGUCUUGUGAAGGAUGUUUAUAUUCAUGUUGUCUUUGUAGGUUCAACUGGAGUCGACAACUUCAUGAGUUUACUUUCAAUGAACAUUUUCAGAGACGAAAAUUCUCGGUUGGUCGUUUAUGCUUCUGUAGAAAAUCUUGUUAUAUGUAUUCCGAUGCUAUUUCAAAUAUUUUUUGAUUAAGGCCUGGUAUUCCGUACUUGUAAAUUGUUGGAACUUGAUUGGAAAUGUAUGAAUAUUAUAAAUUGUAUUAUAGCGUAUAUAUAUUAAAGUGUCGGCUAUUUUUUUCUAUAUGCGUGUCAAUAUUAUAAAUUCAAAGUUGUCAUUGUCGGCUACAUUAUUGUCAUUCAAAUGGUUCGUGUAAUGGCAGAACAACAAGGAGAACAGGAAAAAAACUGUAGUAAUUGAGUAAUUUGCAACAGGAAAUAAAUGUCGUAAUAUAUGAAUUUGUGACAAUCAUUAAUUGUUGUUAAUACGAAACCAAUGACAAUUUUUUUACAAAAUUAAUUGUCACAAUUGCCCAUUGGAAAAAAAUGUCAUCAAUAACAAAACAAUGACAAUUUAAAAAAAAAAACUGUCGCGAUUGACAUAUCCGUGACAUAUAAAAAAUGUCACAAUAAACGAAUUCGCGACAUUUAUUUAACUGUCGUUAAUAUACAAAUGAUGAUAGUUAUUUAUUGUCAUAAAAUAAAAUAUGAUAGUUAUUUGAUGUCAUAGAAUCCUAAUUAACGAUAUUUAUUUUAUGUCAUGAAAUAAGUUAUUGCGACAAUUUUUGAAAAUUGUCAUGGAAGAACUUUUCAUGACUCCCGCUUCUAUGACUGAAAAUAACUGUCACAGAUUUUGUUCGUGACAGUAAAUAACUCUCGUCGUAGACCAUUUUUCUUGUAGUGUUUAGACAUGUAAAUAUUAAAGUUCUUUGCUUAACUUAGGCUAUGCAUGUUGUUUAAUUUGAACCUUCACAUUAAAAUGAGACUUUUUCAUUUUAAUGUAUUUUUCUCAGGUUUAUGCAGUUUUCUGGAGCGGGAAAUAAAUACUUUCUGAGUUAAUUAACCAUUUUUUGUGUAUGUAAUAUUUUUUUUUUUUUGUUUAUUUUGGUAUGUCAAAAUAAAAUUUAAUACAGUUCAUGAACCUUUGGUACACUAAAGAAUUAUUGUUUGUCAUAUUUUGAUAAGUAUAUUAAAUUAUGGAUUGUCAUAUUUUGACAAAAUAUUAAUGGUUGAAAAUAUUUUCUUUUUUAAUUUUUUGUUUGCACUAUUCAAUAUAUUUUGUUAUAGGCAAGAAAUUCAUUCUAUAAUUGAAAUUUUAUUUAGAAGCAUACAAAAUGAAAUUUAAUAUAGUUCAUGAACCUUAUAAGGUGUUUUGCAAGAUAAAGGACUAGGCGAGAAGAAGUAAGAAAACUUCACGGAAAUUUUCUAGGCAUGUUUAAUGGACCACGUGUAAAGUUUAAGUUAAGCAUGAUUAAGUUAAAUUUUAAGCUUACACGUGCACCACCACUACGUCGUUAGGACUGUUGUUAAAUCUACGUCGCUAAAAGUUUUAGCAAUGCAACAACUACGAGCCGCAAAAGAUAUACUUUUAGUAACAUAUGUUAUGUCACUAUUUAUCUUUUAUAGUGAUGUAUUGCACUUGCCACUAAACAUGAUGUUUUAGUGACAAAUAAUGUUGUUACUUAAGGUUAAUUUGAGACCGUUACAAACAUCUUUUGCGACGUAUUGAAGUGCACCACUAAAAUUUCCUAUAAUUUAUUUUUUAAAAAAACCAAUGCUUUUAAAAGUAUUUUAUUAUAUAAAAAAUAAUAUACAAUUUAUUAUAUUUUAAAAUGUUAAAUAUAAUUAUAUUGCAUCUGUUUUGUAGUCCAACAAUGAUGUACAACAUAAUCAACUCAAACAACACAUAUGCAAGAAUUUAAGCUUUCCAUCAAUUGAACUAUUUAUGUUUCUUGAAUAAUCAACCCAAACUUUCAAUCAAAGAACUAACAAAAUGCAUAUAUAUCCUUGAACAUACAUACAGUUGGUCAUUACAAUUCUAGUUUAAGAUAAACACAAACUUAAUUAAAAAAGCUUGAAACUCAAUCACCUUAUCGUAUGAACUUGGCUUCAAAUAUAAAUUUGGAUUCCACGACCUAAACCAAAAUAGAACAAUGUCAAGUUAAAAAAAUAAGCAAUCCAAUAAAGCAAUCUUAGAAAAAUUAAGCAUUUGUCUGGUAGCAUACUAAAUCACUAGCAGACCCAUUAAAUCAUAAUUAAUAAAUGAAGAAACAAGGGAGAAAGUUACCUCAUUUAAAAUAACUAUAAGAUAACUCCAAACUCAAAGUCUCACUGAUUGUUAUCUUCAACUCUUUAAAAUCUACAAACAAAAUGAGAAUAGCAUUAAUAAUAAAAACUUUAACUUUUAAGUAUAAGAAUCAUGUCCUUGAAAUAGAAACUUGAAGUCUCUUUUUCUUCUUUCAUUCCUAGACGAUGAAGUAUGGUGAAAAACUAACUUGGUUUUAGUUAAUUCAAAUCCAUACACUGAAGAGAUGAAUUACUGAAGUUGGCUCUAUCAUAAUGAAAGCAUGAAAUAUGUAAAAAAUGAAGGAAAUUCAAGUAUUGCAAAAAAACUAUUCCACAUUUUGUACGUGCAACAAAAUAACGAGAUAAUGUUAUAACUUACCAAUGUUAAUUUACCUUUUUUAUUUCAACCAACCAUGCAAUGAACUUUGGUCGCUUGUUCCUAAAAAACAAAGUUACUAAGAUCAAAUUGAAGAAACCAAAAAGCAGUAUAAAAACUCUUCCACAGUAUAACAAAAAUCAAGAUCAAAAUGUGCAUUUUCAUGUGCAUUUUCACAUUAGCGUUGAUUAAACCUGACUAUCUUUCUAUCACGUUGGACACGUUUGUAAGUUUCCAUAAUAAGAUUACCCUUCCAAACAUUUAUGGGAAAAUCAUACUUACUCAAAUCUCCAAUUACAUAAAAAUAGAGAACAAAAGACAAUGCAACUGCAAUAAAUUUGCAAUGCCCAAUUAAAGAAACAUAAAACAGACAAAAAUACAAAACUCUCUAGCUUUUACGGUGUUGACAUGUGGGGUAAAUCCAACUCCUGCUGACUCUACAAUUACAAUCAUAAAAUCGUUAACUCUAGUGCAAUACCAAAGUUGAAACUGAGCUUCAAGAAUUAAGACUCUAAAAAUGGCAUGCAUGUAAAGAAGACCCAAUUUUAAGGACUUUUGUAACAUAAAGUAAAACAAUUACAAGGGUAGAGAUAUGCAUUGAAUGAAUCUUAAAAUUUUAUUUUCUCGCAAUCGAUGACGAGGGAAAAAGGGACUUUAAUAACUAAAUUUAGGUAGAAAGUAUCCAUAGUUUAUUAAUGCCAAUAAACAAAGAAGCCACAUAAUGGAGAUUGGCACCAAGCAAUUAUUUUAGAUAUAAAAAACCAGAAUAAACUAAUUGCCUCUUCUAUUUUAUCAAGUACUCGACUGAGGGGCGACCAUUGGUGAAGGAAAAAAACCUCCACUGGACUAAGUUGCUGAUAUGAUCGAAUAACAGUCAAUAAAAUUCAUAAAAAGCUACUGAGAAUUAGACUAAAGAAGCUUACUAAAUUCAUAAAAAUGCAAAAAUUGUCAUCUGCACCAAAGGGGCGAAGAAAACUAAACAAAUUAUAAUAAAUUGCUACACAAAUAAAAUGCAAAUAAUAAAGGGGACUUUUGGGAUUAGCAUUUAGAAUGAGAACUUUGGGAUUUUAUCCCUCUUGCUCUAAGGUACAGCAUAUAACAUACAGAGUUGUUUUGCUUGAGUAAUGUUGUUCUACAUCUCUUCCUUCGGAAUAAAGGACAAUGCGUAAGCUAACCGUAUUUUGUUUAUUUGGUUCUAAUUUUUUGUGUUUUACUUUGUUUGAUAAAUUCUUGUCAACUGAUUGUUUAAUAAUGAUUGAGAAACAUUUUACCCAAUUUCGGUGAUUUGGAAGCAAAGUAAACCCCAAUGAAAAAGAUGCAGCUUUUCACUAUUUUGUAUUUUAAUAGUUUUCUACAUCACUAUAAUGAAUAAUCUAAAGAACUUAAAGAGACCAGACUAGUUUAGUGGAUUCUUUUGUAGUAGCAUAGUGAAAAGCAAUGAGAAAUCAGCCACACACACCCUAAAGAAGGAAAAAAAAAAAAACUAGCUAAAUUGAUUGAAUAAGUUUCAUUUUUCAAUCUCAUUAACUUUACAUUGUAAUGUUGGUCUUUAUGGUUUAAAGAAAUAAUUUAAUCUCUUAUGAUCUAUAAUUUUUAUCCCAAAUGGUAGGAUCAUUGAAACUGAACUCAAAAACUCUCUCAAAAUAAUUAAAAAAAAAAUGAAUAACUCACAUUGAAGGGAUGAAGGAAUACCGCGUACCUUUCUCUUCAAGUCACCGUCAGUUGUGGUUCAUUGUCAAUAAGAAUACGUCAAGGAGUUGGCCAGGCGAAACAUGACGAAACACUAGCUUGUUGUGGGUAGUCGCCGACCGAAAUGUGACCGACCGAUGAGAUGGAGAGGGUUGGAGGGUUGGGAAUUUGGGAUUUAGGGAUUUUGUGUUUUUUGUCGUGGAAGAGGAAGAGAAAUUAAGGAUUUGAUAAAUAUAUAUAUAUAUAACAAAUUAUUAGAUGAAAAUUUGGAUGAAAAUUAAAAGAGAAAUUUUACAACAGUUAUUUGUUACUAAAACUAUUUAACUUUUAGUGACAUUAUUUCGUGUGUUGCUAAUUCGUUUAGUGACGUGGAUUGAAAAUAUGUUGCUAAUAACCAUAUUUCAUGGCAAAAAAAUUUAGCAUUGAUAAAAAUGAUCAUUUAGUGACAAAAAUUACUUACACCACUAAAACUUUGUCACUGAAUAAUAAAUUUCAGUGCACUAGAAGUAGAAGCUGACAAGCUGAUAAGAGAUUAAAGGUGACUAAGCUUGUUUAUGAAGUAGUAUAAAUAGAGGAUGAGAUCAUAAUGUUAAAGAGGGAUUAUUUUUAGAAUUUGAAAAGAAAAGUUUAAGUGUUGAGGUGGUGCGAAUUUGUCUAUGCAAGAAGAAGAAUAGGAGAAGCCUUUGAAGUUUAUUUUCCAAGUGUUGUGAGUGUCUUAUUCUUUGAAAUGUUUAUGUUAAAAUUUUUCUUAUAAGUUCUUUUUUAUUUAAGUUAAUGAUUUCUAAAGAGAGAUUUAUAUGAAAAACUUGUGCAAUGUUUCAAGUAUGUUUAUUGAGAUUGUGAAUGUUUAUGAAUGAAUUAUCAAACCACUAGUUAUCUUCUUACUAAUGAGCUAACUGUUAUAUGCACAUAAGGCUAAAGACAGUCAUGUAGAAAAGGACUGCAUGGUGGAAUGAAGCUGACCAAUAUAGAAAAUGAUUGCAUUGUAUAUUUAGCGGCAUGAGCAACAAGAACGAAUCAUAAUACUCUUUGAUGUUGAUGAUGAAAAGGACAUCUCAGUAGUCUAAAUGCAAGAUGAUGAGUCUUUACGUAGAGAAUGAUUUGAAAUUAUUGACGAAAGGAAUGUUUGUGACUAAUGUGUGUUUAUGUGCUUGUUAUAUUUUGCGAGAUGAAGCAUUUACGCGAAAUGACAAGUUUAUGAGCAAAAAAUGUUUGAUGUAAAAUUUGACAAAAUAAAGUUUAAUUUACAAAUUUUGCAAAAAAAAAAAAUCUUAAAACCUCACUAAGUCUUUUAGACUUGUUUUAAAAUUUUACCUUCCACGUUCAAGGCGCUAAGGCCAAGUAGGGGAAAGUUAAAAAGGACUUGCUAGGCGAGAAGAGGCUGCCAAGGUGUUUUACCUCUUUAAGUUUAAGAGUUGUGUAUUUGUAUUGUAGUAAAGUUAUUGUAAAAUGCUUAGCCAAAAGUUCAAUAAAGUUUUCGUUUGGUUACUUCUCUGUUUUAAGUGUUUUCUGUUAUCACCUCAAAAUACUUGUAAAGUUGUAAGUUAAGACAAAGGAAAGUCUUUGGGCGAUUAAGCAAAGCUUAAGGACCUCAAGAUUGAAGGUUUUAGCAUUUAACACAUAAAGAUACUCAAGUCACGUCACAUCUCGUAUGGCAAGCUAGGGUGUCAGCGGGGGCAGUGACAACUUGUAGAAGUACAAGUUAUUGUGUACCCUUUUGAGUAAAAUAAUGAGAUCUUAUUGCAUGGAAACAAAAGAAAAUAGAGAAAAAAGUUAACAAUUUGGUUAUAUUUCCAAUAGCAUAAUACAGAAGAACCUUAUCCACAAUUCACUAGCAUUUAGUGCUGUUGGCACAUGCUUUUAGGCAAAAAGAGAGUGAAGCUUGACAAAAAUAUGUCUAUGCGAGAAGUUCAAUCCAACCUUUGCGAAAAUAGAAGUACAAGCUAUGCGAUUAAGGCAAUUGCAGACAAAAUUAGUUGGCAGGAAAUUUAGAGAAAGGACAAAAGGAUAUGCACAAUGUCGAUUGCAGCUUUUCAGAGGUUUUAAUGGCGCGUGGCAGCCUGUCAACAUCAGUUCUUGAAUAUAAAUAGAGUGUCUCACUUCUCAAUCGGUGUGCAAUUUUGGCUGGGAAAAACAAAAUGCUCCCUCCACCCAUCCAUCUCCCUUCCCUUCAGUUUUAGAUAAAAGCCUACAGCAAAGAGGAGAGAGAGAUCCAUCUCUUCCAUUGUUUUCCUCAGACAUAGGCAAAAAUCAGAGCUAAAGAGUAUGAGAGAUCAAACUCUGUGGCGUAACUCAUGAUUUAUUUUUCCAUCUUGUAAUUUUUAUAUUCUAUUGUUUUGUAAUCUAAACCUCAUGGUUAAAAAGCUUAACAUAUUGUUUAUGAAAGCAAUGAAUUUCUUCUUCCAUUCUCCCAUAUUUCUUGUCUUUCCAUGUCUACAUAGUUGGUUGGUUGAAUUAUAAUAAUUGAUGUUCGUGAUACUCGGAUAAUCAUAAUGAAUGUUGUAAGAGUUAUGCAAAGCUAAGUGUGAGUAUCUCAACCUUUUUCAUUCAAAAGAAGGACUUGAGUAGAGAUCGUAAUCACUAAACAAGUGAAAAUCCCUUUUAGCUGAGCAGGUGGUGGGAAGAAUGUCGUCAUGCAUUCUUGUCGUCAAGUUCAUCCUUUGCAUACAUCACUGAAAGGUUGCUGUGUGUGUCGAAAGCCCUAAAAUGUGUACGACCUAAAUAAGGAUUAACUACUGUUUUGUAUGUGAGAUUAUUAUAUAUAAAUCAUAGCUUAACUAUAAAUAUUUUCAUCCCGAGAGGCGAGCAAGUAUGAUAGAAGCGCUGAGAAUGUGCUUGCCUUAAUUCUUGGUUAAUACAUGCUUUAUGUCACUUCAAAGUAUUAAAACAUUAACCAUUGCCUUUAGUUAAUUCAACUUUCCUUCCUUGCCAUGCCUACACUAAGUUCAUAUCUCAUUAUGCUAUACUUCCAUGUUCACCUUGCACCGCCAAGUACAGUAGUGUAAAUAUCUAAGAUCAAUAUUAUAUUGUUAAUAUCUUUAUUGUACAGUGUAUACCGCAUCAUUUAGUAUGGGGUUAGAUAAAAUAGGAGCUUAAAUUCCCUAUGAUCAACUCUAGACUUACUAGAAAACUUCUCUUCACUUGAACUUGGGCGAUAGAGGAGAAAACUUGUGUGACAAUGUUUGAUUCUUAUAAUAACAACGCAUUAAUAAGAAUGCACCUUUUUUUAUCGUAUAACCUUGUUUAGAUGCAUAAUGGUUAUAAACUUAGAACUACUCUUGUUAAACAUACAAGCUUGACACUUGAGAAAUUAGAACGCAUGAAUAAAAAUUUUAUGACGACUAAGUUUCCGGCGCUAUUGCCGGGGAAUUUUUAAAGAUCUUUCUAUUAUUUAAUUGUGCGCUAAAUUAUGCAUAAGUUCAAUCUCAGUUGAAUCGCGUGCUCUAACCAAAAAGUUCAUGAACAAGUUUAUGAGUGCAGGCGAACAACCUGAAUUCCAGCUUGACCCUAAGAUCGAAUGAACAUUUUGGAGGAAUCAUAGACAAAGGCAGAAGGCAACACCAAGCGAACAUGGACAAUCAGAACAACAAUAUCUCUCCCAACCAGAACGCCCAAAACCAAAAUCUAGCCUACUUAGCUCAUAAUUUGGAUUGACCCAUUAGAUCAUGCACACCGUUGAGCCUCUAUAAUUUCAACCCGGGUAUUGCAAGUGUAGUAUUUGGAGACAACUCAAGGUUCAAAAUCAAGCUAGUAAUGCUUCAAAUGAUCUAGAAUGUUGGACAGUUUGGAGAGCACACACAUGAAGACCCUCAUGAGCAUAUAAGGAACUUCUAAUCUAUUUAUAUGUCGUUUAAUAUGCCAGAAAUAUCACGAGAUGAACUAUGUUUACCAUUUUUUCCACUCACAUUGCACGACGAGGCUAAACAAUGGGCCAAGUCUUUGGAAGAAGAGGAAGUUACAAUAUGGGAUAACUUGAUUGAAAAUUUUAUGUAGAAGUUCUUCUCGUCCAUUGAGAACGCAAGAAGUAGGCAAGAUUUGAUGACCUUUGAACAGAGAGAUAGUGAGAACCUUAUUGACGUGUGGGGAAGAUUCAAGAGAAUGAUCAAGGGAUGCCCUCACCAUUGCAUCACUGGAUGUGUUCUGAUGGAACAAUUUUACUUUGGGCUUAGUAGAGACAUACAACAAUCUGUUGACAUUGUGUUCAUUGGUGGGAUGCUCAGAUCAUCCUAUAAUCAAAUCAAAACAACGUUGGAUGAUAUGACCAGCAACAUUCAAGAAUGGAGAGAUGACAGCUUCGAAUUGUGAAAUGAUAGUAAAGGAAGUAGAAGAGACAAAGGAAGUCAACUUUCAGAAGAGCAGGUGGGCGGGAAGAAUUUAAUCGUGCAUUCCUUUCGCCAAGUUCAUCCUUUGCAUAUACAUCUUUGAAAGGUUGGUGUGUUUGUCGAAAGCACUGAAACAUAUACGGUCUAAGUAAAGAUUAGCUACUUUUAUUGUAUGUGAGAUUAUUGGAUAUAAAUCUUAGCUUAACUAGGAGUAUUUGCAUCCCGAGGGGCGAGAAAGAAUGAUAGAAGCGCUGAGAAGCUGCUCGCUUUAAUUCUUGGUUAAUACAUGCUUUAUGUCACCUCAAAGUAUUAAAACAUUAAUCACUACCUUUAGUUAAUUCAAUUUUCCUUCCUCAUCAUGCCUACACUGAGUUCAUAUCUCAUUAUGUCAUACUCCCAUGUUCACCUUGCACUGCCAAGCACAAUAGUGUAAAUAUCUAGGAUCAAUAUUAUGUUGUUAAUAUCUUUACUAUAUAGUGUAUUAACGCAUCAUUUAGUAUGCGAUUCGAUAAAAUAAAAGUUUAAAUUCUUUGUGUUUGACCUUGAACUUACUAGAAAACUUCUCUUCGCUUGCACUUGGGCAACAGAGGAGAAAACUCGUGCGACAAUGUUUGAUUCUCAUGAUAGCAACGCAUGAAUAUAAAUGCACCUUUAAUUUUAUUGCAUAACCCUUUUUUAGUUGCAUAAUAGUCGUAAACUUAGAACUACUUUUGUUAAACAUACGAGCUUAACUCUUGAGAAAUUAGAACGCAUGAAUAAAAAUUUCAUGACGAUCAGGCGUGGUGUGACAACUUAGUAUCAUAGCGUGAUUUUGGGAAAUCUAGUAGUUUUAUGUGUGAUUUUGGUGGUUAAGUGCUUAAGUUACUUUUGUAGGAAUUAGUAGAAGUAGAAAUGUCGACAAGAAAAGGAAGGGACGCAAGAAGUGGAUCAAGAGCAACAAUUGAGCCUACAAUGGAUUCAGAAGCACAUUCGGUUAACCCUGAUGCGAGAAGAAAGCAAGAGGAAGCAGUUUAUGAUAAGAGUUUCCUAAAUAUUAAUAGAUGUCAUGGCACAACAACUAGAGAAGAAAUUUGGAAUAGAGAGAUUCAAGACAUUAGGAGCUACAAAAUUUAGUGAAACUACAAAGUCAAAAGAAGCUAAAAAGGACAUUAAAGAAGUUAGGAAAGUAGAUUUGGUUGUGUUUUUAUUACAAGAAGAGGUUGAAGAUUGGUAGACCCUAGAAGAGAAUGGGCGAGGAAGAGUUAACUAUGAAAAUUUGAAAGAAAUAUUCAUUGGAAAGUAUUUUUUCGAAACCUAUAGAGACGAGAAGAGAGAUGGAUUUCUCAAUUUGGAAGAAGGAGAACUCUCUAUCACACGACACGAGAAGAAGUUUACAGAGUUAUCUAAAUAUGCAAGAUGAAAUUCACUCUUUCCUUACUUUAGGGUAAGUAAGUGAAUGUUCUCUUAAAUGGUGUCUCCGAGACUUGAGCAAAUGGUCCUACCCUCUCAAUGGCACAAGAGGGGUUUAUAGUUAUUUAGUGGUUGAACCAUAAAUAGGUUGUUCACUAGAUGAACAUUGAUAUUUAAGGACUAGAAGUAACUCAGGGGUAAAAUGAAAAUUGACCCAACUGAUUUACGAACACUUGGGAAGGACUAACUACUAUAGGUCUAUAUCUGUGGACAAAGAAAUAUAUCUAUAGUGAAAAAAGUUUAGUUGUGAGUCUUUAGCCAAUUAAUCUCAUAUCGUUAUAACAUCUUAUCUAAAGGUCUAUUAGACUCUCUUUCUAGCUCGUAAAGGGUAAUGAAAUUUAUUUAUAUUAGUAAUUUGAAAUUUUCAAAUUUACUUUGGGAAUUAGUAUAAUGUACGGUGAUACAUUAUAAUAUAAAGUUCAUAUUUUAAUCAAACUUUAUUAUUAAAUUUAAUUUUGGAUAUAAUUCAAAAUUAAUUUAUGAGAGAUAAAAUAUUUGGAUGAGCUCAAAUAUUAAUUUGAUUUGAAUUGGAUUCGUAUUAAAAUUAUUGGUUAUGAGAGAAAUUUAUAUUGUAAUAUGAUUCAAAUUUAAUUUAAUUUUAAGAUAUUUAAUUUAACUAUUAAUUAAUAGUUUCAUUUAAUUUUAUUUGAUUUAAUUAAAUUAAUUUAAAACUCUAAGAUAUUAGAGGCACAUGAAAUUAAAAAGGAUUAAAAUGAAAUAUUAAUUAAAUCAUAUUUAAUUAAUUAUUAAUUAUUUAAUAUUAAUUAUUUAAUUAGUAGAUUUAAAAAUAAAUUAAUUAGAAUGAGAUUUAAAGGGGUACAACCAUUAUACCAAAUACAAAAUAUAAAUAUAAAGUAGUAUCAUUUAAUAUUUAUUAUAAUUUAACAGUUUAAAAUUAAUAUUAAAAUACAAAAAUCGAGAAUGUGAUACAGACACAUGUCCUUUAGUCCUUUAAUAGAUCUGCCCACAACAGUGGACAAAACUAGAAGAUGGAGAGUUUUGCCGGAGUGAAAUGAAAACACAUGGAAAAAAAAAAGGAAAGAAUCUCUUUUUUGAAUUUGAGAAUAAAUUUACGAUUUAAAGAAACAUUAAAUGUGAUAUAACUUAAUUAGCAACACAAUAAAUUUUAUUUAUUAUUUUAUCUAUUCGCAAUAUCAAUGAAAUGAGUGAGAUGUACCCUAUUUUAUAAAACCUAAAUGUAUAGUAAAAAACUAAACGUGAAAAUUCAUUAUACUUGAAUUAAGUAAAAAUAGUUUUUUUUUUUAAACAAUUUCUCUAAUAAAAAAAAUAAGAAGAAGAAGAACAAUAAAUAAAAAAAUGUAAAGAAUAAAGAAAUAAAAUGUAAAAUGUAAAGAAUAAAGAAACAAAAUGUAUUAGAUUCCUAUAUAUCCGUGAGUCAAUUUUCUUUGAUCAAAUUCCCUAGAAACAUUUUACUGUCGGUCAUUUAAAUUCGUAAAAAUCUAAACCUAAAGAGCAAUUUAUUUCCUUAGCAAUUGUUUGAUCACAAACAAAACAAAUUUUGUGAUUAUUAUAUAUGUGGAGAUGACCUGUUAAUUCCUACCACCUCCAAGCUCCUAAAAUUGAAAAAAAAUAAACAAUAUUUCAUAAAGAAACUGAAACAUAAGAUUACAUGCAAACAUUUUGAACAAUUUAUCUUAAACCCAUCUUCUUAAAUUUAUAAGCAUAAUAUCAUACGAAGAGAAGAACUCAAAAGGCCUUUAACAUUUCAUCCCGUCCUCUAGUUUUGAAGAAUAUGGGUUUGGUUUUUAAGUUAAGUCAAAUUUAUAAUUUCUAGUUUUGUUUUCAAACGUAUCUAGUUAGUCUCAAGUUUUUAAAAUUAAGUUCACGAACUCUCUUGAAUAAUUUCAUACUUUUAUUUUAAGUAAUUAUAUAUGGAUAUAAUUUUAUAAGAGAAAUUUUCAAAAAUAACAAAUUUUACAAAGUAUUUACAAUUUAUAACAAAUUCUAUAUAGUAUUGAUAGGUUAUAAUGAUAAUAUAAUCUAAAAUUUUGCUAUAGCUUGUAAUUAUUUUUAUUUAUUUUAUUAUUUUAAAAAGUCAUACAAAAAAUACUUCAACACCUUUUAAACCUAUUUGAUCAAAUAGAUCUAUUUUUCUUAAUUUGAAAACUAAAAAAAUACAUUUUUAAAACGGGGAAUAAAACCGUGUACUGUUUUAUGGAUGAAAAAGUAUUUUUUUUUUCUUUUUCCUUUUUUAUUUCCAUCCAAAUCAAUUCCAACUAAAUAUUGAAUUAAUACAACACUCCAGAUAUGGAUGGAAUUGUGAGAUAUUUGAGUAUCCACAUUGGAAAAAGACACAAUUUUAUUAUUCCUUACAAGUCUUUUUAUUAUUCGUUUUUUUGGUCCAAAAGUUGACUCCACCUUAAUUCUUUUCUAUUGUGAAAUUGAUCUUCUUUAAGAAGUAUAUGUUGUGUACAUCUACUGUUUGUGAGAAUUUGAGAAAAGCAUAUUAAAAUAAAAUGUAGCAAAUUCUUAGUCUUAAUUAAUCAAAUGUAUUGUUUAGAAAAAUUAUUGAUUCAUGGCUAACACUUCUUAGAUAUUAAUAAUUAAAUGUAUAAGAACAUUUUUAAAAAUUUGUAAAUAUAAAAAAAUUUAUUGAUAAAUAAAUUCUAUCAUUAAUAGAUUUCUAUUAGCUAAGGUUGACAAAGUUUAUCACUAGUUGAAUAGUGUUAAGUCUAAGUUUUAUUAUAUAUAUUAAAUAUAAUUGUUUUGCAUUGUUGGUGUUUGGCCUAAGUACUGCUCCUAUAUUCGAUAUUAAAUUACUCUUGUUGUUAUCUACACUAAUGUAUACAACAAAAGUUAAAAAAAAGAUUCAAUUGGAUAACCCUCGAUCAAAAUGUUUCGAACUUAUCUUCUGUAAGUUAAAAGUAGGACAUCCACAAAGUUGUAUAAAUAUAUACCGUCCAAAUGGGAAAGAGAAGCAUGAGAAGAAGAGCCUUCUAGCUUUCUCCAAAAAUAAGCAAAAAGGAAAGAUAUAGCAAAGAUGAGUUGUGUGGACAAGGGGGAGUGGUCAAAAAUACCUGUUUGUACAACACCAUGUGUUCUUGAUAUAGCAAAUUUUGCAGUGACGGAACACAACAAAGAAACUGGAGAAAAAUUGACACUCAAAAGUGUUAUAAAAGGAUGGUUUUUGGAGUUGGGCGAUGUGAAAUUAAAGUUUCGUUUGUACAUUCUAGCAGCAAACGACAAAGGAGUUGUCCUAACCUAUGAAGCAGUUGUGUGCGUCACAGAAAUAGGUGACUUUAAAAGAGUGAAGAAACUCUUAUCUUUCAAUGUCGGUUAUUUGGAUGAGAAGGAUGUAUUUUGGAUUGUAAUUGUUGAUACUAAAGCGUCUUGUGUGCAAGACGUGGCAAAGUUUGCUGUGGCAAAGCAUAAUGAAGACGAACAUGAUAGUCUUGUCUACCUUUCUAUCACUAAAGGUUGGUAUCGAGAACUUGACCCGUAUAAUGCUAUAUUCUUCGAAAUUCAUCUUACGACGAAGGAUUGUUUUGGACGAGUGCGUGAGUUUAAGGCUUUGGUUCUAGAAGACAAACCUCAAAAGGAGAAAAUCCGAACACUCAAAUAUUUCGAAGUUAUAAAGAAAUGUUGAAAACUUGCUAUCUAUAUGUAAGUGAGAGUGGUUAUGUUAUGUGUUAUGUCUAUGUUCUUGACUAUAUAUCCAUAAAUGAAUAGUCAAGUUUAAACUAAAUAAAACGUUUUAAAUUAUAUGUCACUCUUUAUGCCAAAUUUUAUUAAGGAAGUUGUUUAUAUUAUAACCUAUUAGUUAUUGGGAAUUUAUACGAGAUAUAAAUAAAGUCACUUCAUUAAAAUGAAAAUGUAAUAGAUCGAUGGUAAUAAGAAAUGUGUGGGGUGCCAUUUGAUUGCUUUUAGCAUUGUUUACUUAUGUUCUAUGAUCGUAUUGACACAUGAGGUCACUUCCAACUUAUAAUCAACAAAUGCAAAUUGAUUCACAAAUUAAAGGCAUUCAGUUCAAUUGCACCUAGUAAUUAAGUUGUAUAUUUGUUACUGUGUUUCGGUUACAACUACCAUUAUUGUUAUUGUUUCAGCUGAAAAAUUAUCAAUUUGACAUUUUAAUAUUGUCGUUAUUGUAAUCGCUUUGGAAACCUUAUCCUUUGAAUUCCUAAGUCGUAUAAGAAGUUAAGUAGAGGUUGUUGUUGAUGUGUUGUGUUGUUAACGUAGCUUAAUUGAAGGAUUAAAGGCUUGUUUGAAAUUCAACUAAGUGUUUGGGAGCUAGGGUAACCAACUUAGGUGUUAUGAGAACCUUCAAGAGUAUGAUGACCAAUAGUAGUUUAAGUGGCCAAGUAGAAGAGCCCUGGUGUGAAACUCCGAUCUGCAAAACAACAAGAAUGCAGGAAGUAGUGUAGAUAGGACACAAUUUAGCUUAAAACCUUGCAAUUGAUCUUAUCACCUAACUCAAACUCAACCCCUUUUAAACUACCAAGUGAAAAACAUAACGUAAUGGAAGUCAACAUAAACGUCAAGUACAAUAAUUAACAUAACCAAAACUUACGCUUAUUUAGAAUGAUUUUGACCACAUGGUUAUAUUGGUACAAUAUGUAGUUUAUUGAAAAUGGACUUGAAGGAGAUGCUGAUUCUGGCGGUGAAGAAGAUGAACCGGAGGACACUGAUGGUGUGAAAGUGGAACAUCUCUACACAUUUCAGAUUAUCAAGGUUUUGCACUAAUAACCGAUUGAUUUACUAUAGUGAUGAAGCUACCAAGCAAGUGAUUGAUGUUUGAUUCGUGACAAGACUUGUUGCAAUUUAGUUAUCUAUGACAAUACAUUGCAUUUAGUUUCUUUGUAAAAAUAUAUUACCAAUGUUUAGUUUCUAUUUCACUUGUAUUUAUCCCUUUGGGAAAAUUCGAUAGAUUUAGUGUACUUAGUUUUUUUGUAAAUAUGUUAUCUAUGUUAUUUUUAUAUAUGAAAGUUCUUAUUUAUAUGUGUACUAGUUUUGUGUUAAAAUGGAAUCAUUGGAUAACAGGAAAAAAAUCUAAUUGAAUUACAAUUUUUUUUAUAAAAAAAAUUCAUAACAUAUUUGACGGUUAUAAAAUGUCAUAAACAAGUCCAUCCUUGACGGUUUUUCAAUGUCAUAAACAAUCAAUUUCUUGACGGUUAUUAAAUGUCAUGAAUACUUAUACUCUUGACGAUUUUAAGUUGUCAUAAACAUUCACACUCUUGACGGUUUUUACCUGUCAUGAACAUUUGUAUACUUGACAUUUAUAAAACGUCAACGUUCA
rnacentral:lncRNA from 1 species